GACGUAGGGCGCAAGCGUUGUCCGGAUUUAUUGGGCGUAAAGAGCUCGUAGGCGGUUUGUCGCGUCUGCUGUGAAAACUGGAGGCUCAACCUCCAGCCUGCAGUGGGUACGGGCAGACUAGAGUGCGGUAGGGGAGAUUGGAAUUCCUGGUGUAGCGGUGGAAUGCGCAGAUAUCAGGAGGAACACCAAUGGCGAAGGCAGAUCUCUGGGCCGUAACUGACGCUGAGGAGCGAAAGCAUGGGAGCGAACAGG
rnacentral:rRNA from 1 species